GUCUUCCCGCUGCCUGAGAGGCCGAGCAUUGCGAGCAUCUCGCCGGGGAGCACCACCCCCGACACCGCCUUCAGGAUCAUCCUCUCGGCGUCGGCAUCCUUCUUCCUUUUCCUUAUCAUCGAGCCACUUGUCACGGACUUAGCGUUUUUGUUCGCAAAGCCCGUGCGGCGCCCACCUUUCCUGCUCGAAGAUGGACAAGCCUUUGUCCCUGUUGCUAGUCCGGACCUUCGCGUCCUACGACUAAGUAUGCAAAGGGAAAUGACAAAGAGAAAGAGGCAGAGGUUCUCUCAAAAAACUAAGUACUACACUACUUAGAAAUGAGAAUUACAACCUACAAACAGCAUACAAACACACUCUCUCUUGUGUGCUUUGGCCUUAGCCAAACCCCUCUAUUUAUAGGCCUAAAGGUGCCUUUUCAACUCACCCACACACAUAACUCACCCAUUAUCACAUACAUAAUGAACCCACAUUAUGAGCCCUCAUAAAUGCCAAAAUCUCAAGAGUCACCCAUAACUCCCAUGAGUUUCAUGGCUCUUGAGUUUCCCACAGCGGGUUGGGUUUGGGCCUCUUUGACAACCCGAUUCGACCCGUCUUCAACCCGAACUCGCUAAGCAGAUUUGGGCCAGGGACCGGGCUGCAUAGAAAUUUUUCUAAGUCCCUAACACCCUCCUCCACCUAAUGCGCAGGCGUCCUCGUCGCGCGCUGCUUCUGGAACUCGUCGAUGAGCGCUUGGUACUGCCAAAGUGUGUCCGCCUUCUCCCAACUCGCCUCGCCGAAUGGGAGAUUCUUCCACUUCACCAAGUACUCAGGAUUCGGCACGACCCCACGUCGCCGAAUGAGUCGAGUGUCCAGGAUGGACUCCGCUUCUUUGUCGAACGAAGUCACCAUAGUCGGAGGCGCUCGCUGCGACACUCCUCGGCUUGGAUCCUCCGCGUCUUCGUUGUACAGCUUCAACCUGCUGACAUGAAAAACAGGGUGGAUCCUGAGGUUUGCGGGCAGCUGCAGCUUGUAGGCCCCCUUGCCCACACGCUUGACGACGGUAUAUGGGCCUUCGUACUUGCGCAGCAGUCCCUUGUGCACCUUCCGCAAGGCUUUGAACUGCUGCGGAUGAAGCUUGACCAUCACGCGGUCGCCCUCGGCAAACUCCCGAGGCUGUCGCUUUUCGUCAGCCCACUUCUUCAUCCGUCGUGCUGCUUUCUCCAAGUUCGCCCUUGCAAUUUCACCCUUUUCCUGCAAGUUAGUGGUAAACUGAAGAGCAACAGGGCUGCGGAACUGCUCUCCCGCAGCAGCCGUGUGAGGGGCAAGUGGUUGUCGCCCGAUCGCCAACUCGAAAGGGCUGCAGCCGGUAGACUCGCUGCGCCGCAAAUUGUAAGCGAACUGGGCGACAUCGAGAUGAUGCACCCAAUCUUUCUGAUUGGCACUCACAUAGUGCCGCAAAUACUCCUCCAACAGAGCGUUCACCCGCUCAGUUUGCCCGUCGGUCUGUGGAUGCCAACUGGUGGAGAAGAGCAACUCCGACCCCAAGAUUUUGAACACCUCGGUCCAAAACUUACCAGUGAACCUGGGGUCGCGGUCGCUCACGAUGCUCGUGGGGAUCCCCCAAAGCUUGACGAUGUGGCUGACGAAGAGGCGUGCCGCUUCUUCAGCCGUGCAAUCGGUCGGCGCAGCAAUGAAGGUCCCGUACUUGGAAAAACGAUCAACCACCACCAGAAUGGACCCAAGCACCCCCACCUUUGGUAAGGCGGAGAUGAAGUCCAUCGAAAUGCUCUCCCACGGACGGCUAGGCACAGGUAAAGGCUCGAGGAGUCCGCCAGGUCGCUGGUGCUCAACUUUGUCUUGUUGACACACCAAGCAGGUUCGCACGUAGGCCUCCACGUCUUCGUGCAUCCGCGGCCAAAAGUAGGCGGCCUCGAGCAACGCCAGGGUUCGCUUCUGACCUGGGUGGCCCGCCCACUUGGAGUCAUGGCACUCCUUGAUGAGCUCGCGGCGAAGGUUGCCCCACUUGGGCACGUACACCCGUCGCCCCUUUGUGAGGAGCAGCCCGUCGCUCAGCCAAAACCUUCGCGUUUUGCCCUCCUUGACAAGCUGCACCAGAUUUUGAGCGAUAGGGUCCUCAUUGGUUCCUGAACGAAGUCGAUCGCGGAGCGUCCCUUGAAGCUGCCACACGGCUGCAAGCUCAGCCUUGCGGCUGAGAGCAUCAGCCACGCGGUUUUCCUUCCCGGGCUUGUAUUGCAUCUCCAUGUCGAACUCCGCCAAGAAGUCUUGCCACCUCGCCUGCUUAGGGGACAGCUUCUUUUGGGAUUGGAAGUAGCUCGUGGCAACGUUGUCGGUGCGCACCACAAACUUGCUCCCAAGCAAAUAGUGCCGCCAGGUUCGCAAGCAAUGCACCACAGCGGUCAUUUCCUUCUCUUGGACGGUGUAACGCCGCUCGGUGUCGUUGAGCUUGCGGCUCUCAUAGGCGAUGGGGUGCCCAUCCUGCACGAGGACACCGCCAAUGGCAAAGUCAGAGGCAUCAGUAUGUACCUCAAAGGUGCGACUGCAGUCGGGUAGUCGCAGCACUGGAUCCUCCGUCACCGCUCGCUUUAGGUCCUCGAAUGCCUCCGCGCAUUGAGAGGUCCAAACCCACGAGUGGUUUUUCUUCAGCAGAUCCGUCAACGGGGCUGCUCUCGCAGAGUAGCCAGCAAUGAAUCGGCGGUAGUAGUUAACGAGUCCAAGGAAAGACCGCAACUCGGACACCGUCGUUGGGGUCUCCCAUUCGCAGAUGGCUCGCACCUUCCGCUGGUCCAUGCGAAUCAGGCCCUGGCCUAUCCAGUGGCCAAGGAAGUGCACCUCUUCCUUCGCGAAUAUGCACUUCUCCUUCUUGACGAACAGCUGGUUCUCCCGCAGCACUUGGAAGACGGUUCGCAAGUGCUCGAUGUGCUCCUCCAAGGUGUUGCUAUAUACCACGAUGUCGUCGAGGUACACCACCACAAAGCGAUCGAGAUAGGGAUGGAACAGCUUGUUCAUAAGUGUGCAGAAGGUUGCUGGCGCGUUCGUCAAGCCGAACGGCAUGACAAGGAACUCAUAGGCCCCGUACCUCGUCACGCACGUGGUCUUCUCCUCGUCUCCUUCUGCAAUCCGCACUUGAUAAUACCCAGAGCGAAGGUCGAGUUUGGUGAAGUACUUCGCUCCGCCCAAUUGGUCGAAGAGAUCUGCAACCAAAGGAAUUGGGUAUUUGUUUUUGACCGUUACCUUGUUGAGCGCUCUGUAAUCGAUACAAAGCCGCAGGCUUCCGUCGCUCUUGCGCUGGAACAAAACUGGUGCUCCAUAAGGUGCCUUCGACGGUCGGAUGAAGCCCGCAUCGAGGAGCUCCUUCAACUGCUUUUGCAGCUCCUCGAGCUCUGGCGGGGCCAUUCUAUAUGGCGCUUUCGCUGGCGGUUUGGCUCCUGGCUCGAGCUCAAUGGCAUGAUCCACCUCCCGUCUAGGUGGAAGUUGCUUCGGCAGUUCCUUUGGCAUGACAUCCUGGAAAUCUGCCAAGACCGCCCCAAUCUCUGCAGGAAGGCCCUCCUCGUCGAGGCCCUCGUCGCUCACCUCGCGGAUCGCCGCAAGGUAAGUCAUCUCACCACGGUUCACACCCCUUCGCAACUGCAAUGCAGAGAGGGUUUGGGUGCUUACCGUUUUCUCCUGGCUUGCUAGGACCAUGCAUGGGGCCGCCUCGUCCAUGAUGCUUAAGGCCCCAAGGUGUGGCAUCGGAACCGCCUUCGACGAAGCCAAGAAGUCCAUACCUAGUAUGACUUGGAAGUCGUCGAUGGGUGCAGCGGUGAAGUUUGCGGUGCCUCUCCAAGGUCCCACCGCAAUGGCCACGCCCUUGGCCACGCCCGCAACAGGUUGCGCCUCAGAGUUGACGGCCUUGAUCCUGCUAGCAUCCUUCUCAAGGGGAAGGCCUAUCCGUUUGGCCUCCACUUCGGCAACAAAGUUGUGAGUGGCUCCCGUGUCCACCAAUGCUCGUGUGGCCCUGCCGUUAAGGGUCACAUCGAUGUACAGAAGCUCCUUGUUGAGGGGCUUGCUGCUGCUUGCCAGCCCCUGAACCGCGUUGACGAGCCUAAGCGCGCCCAUCUUCGUCGGUUCUGCACUGCCCUCGCCCUGCUCGGUCUGGACAGCAUUCAGCUUCUUCUUGUUUGGGCAGUCCCUCGCCCAAUGGUUCUCGCCGCAGACGUAGCACGUCAAUUUCUUUGGCGGCGGCACAGGACCCCUCUCGCGGCCCCUGCGCUCCUUCUGGUCACGACGGUCUCCUCCACCUUUAGCCUUGCUCGCUUUGGGCGUCUUGCUGCGAGUUGAAUCCGCCCGCUCGUACUCGGGCAGUUUUUCCGCCAAGGCAAUUGCGGAGGCAACGUCCUUGACGUCGCGUCCCACAAGCUCCUUGUUCGCCCAAGGUUGGAGUCCGUCGAGGAAGAAGAAUAAGCGAUCUUCCUCCGCCAUGUUGGUGAUGGACAGCAUCAACUUGGAGUAUUCCUUGACAUACUCCUUGAGCGUCCCGGUGUGUUUGAGCCGUCGAAGUUGCUUCCUCGCAAGGUACUCGACGUGCUCGGGGUAGAACUGCGCCUUGAGCUCGCGCACGAAGUCCUCCCACGUCUUCAAGUUGCAUUGGCCCUUCUCGGCUUCUGCAGAACGCCGACGCCACCACAGCAUCGCGUCAUCAGCAAGGUACAUGGAUGCAGCCUGGACUUUCUCAUCUUCGUCGUCCAGCCGCAACGCCUUGAAGUAGCGCUCCAUGUGCCACAGAAAGUUGUCGAUCUCCUUCUCGUCGCGGGUUCCCCUGAAAUUUUGAGGCUCAGGGAUACGUACCUUCGAAGCGGACUCUCGUUGGGGUUCGUGGCCACGCGCCACCGCUUUCUCAAGGAUCGUUACUCUUGUCUUGAGGUCCUCGACCUCGUCGACUCGAGCAACAAGCUCCUCGAUCAGUUUCUUUCGCUCCUCGUCACGAUUCUUCAUGUUGGCUUGGAGCUUUUCGAGAUCGCUUCGAAAUGUCUCCAUGGCUGUAGCGACACUUUCCUCCAUGCUGUGGACAUCUUCGUUGAAUGAGUUAAAGGUAUCCGCCAUCUCGGUGUACCUUUCACCCAUUUUCGCGAUGAUGUCCUCCAACAGCACAAGGCGGUCCUCCAACGACGCCGAAUCCCUCGUGAUUCGCUGAGGGUCUUUGCUCUUGCUUCGCUUGGAGGGCUGCUUUGGAGGGUCGCCCCCAACGUCGACGAUUCCCGCAUCGGAUGACGACAUGGUUCCUCGCUCGAACCGGCUCUGAUACCAACUGUCACGGACUUAGCGUUUUCGUUCGCAAAGCCCGUGCGGCGCCCACCUUUCCUGCUCGAAGAUGGACAAGCCUUUGUCCCUGUUGCUAGCCCGGACCUUCGCGUCCUACGACUAAGUAUGCAAAGGGAAAUGACAAAGAGAAAGAGGCAGAGGUUCUCUCAAAAAACUAAGUACUACACUACUUAGAAAUGAGAAUUACAACCUACAAACAGCAUACAAACACACUCUCUCUUGUGUGCUUUGGCCUUAGCCAAACCCCUCUAUUUAUAGGCCUAAAGGUGCCUUUUCAACUCACCCACACACAUAACUCACCCAUUAUCACAUACAUAAUGAGCCUACAUAAUUAGCCCUCAUAAAUGCCAAAAGCUCAAGAGUCAUCCAUAACUCCCAUAAGUUUCAUGACCCUUGAGUUUCCCACAGCGGGUUGGGUUUGGGCCUACUUGACAACCCGAUUCGACCCGUCUUCAACCCGAACUCGCUAAGCAGAUUUGGGCCAGGGACCGGGCUGCAUAGAAAUUUUUCUAAGUCCCUGACACACUGCUGCCAAUGCUCUUCCCCUUGAUUUUGAUUUUGUACACCAUGUCUUCAAACUGUACCAUAACAACUAAUAUGCACGUCCUUUUAGUUUACUAAUUGUAAUAAUCUGUUAAGCUCGACCAUUAACUCCUAUUCCGAUAUGCUACUACUAUCGCUAGAUCAGGUACAUAAAGAAGCGAAUUCCUGGAAAAGCAAUUGAAUAGAGGCUCUUCUGUCUGGUUAAAAGGGGAUAAGCUUGGUGGUCGACUAAUUAAACUGCAAGAAAUCGCUGCUUGCCUACCGAAUACAGCAUGCAUGCGUCUGAUGUGCAGUAAAUAAACUUUCCAUCAUUACAAUAUAGUAUAGUAAACUUGGGGAUGUGGCUGAUGGACUUCGGCACAAUAAGAUUCGACCAUCGACUCUUAUUAAUUAAAUUAAUUAAGAGAUAGCACAAGAUUAAAACAGUUUAUAUAAUAACAGCAAUAAUAA
rnacentral:lncRNA from 1 species